AUUUAAAUAGUUUAAUUAAAAUUUUAGUUUGUGGUUCUGAAGAUGCAUUAAUAUAUGUUUUAAAUA
rnacentral:tRNA from 1 species